rnacentral:ncRNA from 2 species
GCACUGAAGCGGGGGUACCGCGGCGGUUCCAGGCCGGCGGUUGAGACAGUCCCUUCGAACCUGAUGCGGUUGAGACCGCCGUAGGGAAGCUUCGCCGGCCGCGCU